UGAGAAUCACACGCAAGGAGACAAGGGGCGCGAGAGUCCAGCCCUGAGCGUCCCAGAACCACGAAGAGCCCAGGCGCAACCCACAGACACCCACUCCUCAGCCACCUCUGAGGCGCACUGACUCGAGGCCGCGCCCCCUCCUGGCGUCCGAGGGAAGGCGGCUAGAGCGCCCGAAAAGCCGCCAUCUCAGAAUUCAUUCUUCGAUUUUAGAGAACAUGAAGCCUGCAUAUCAGACAUCUAACAGGUUGGAAAUUAUAUUGCCCUUAUAUCAUUUGGAGGUCCUGUUUCAUCUCCUAUAUCAUCCCUGGGUCAUCUUGGAGAGGGGCCAGUGAGCUGCAUGGGAGCGAGGGCUGCACGGGAGCGACGGCUGCACGGGAGCAAGGGCUGCACGGGCGCGAGAGUACCGCCCACACAUUCCAGAGGGAAACAAUAACAACCAUUAUGGGUUACAUCUG